GGCACCUGAGGUUUGCUUACCAGGCUGGGGUGACCUGGGGGCUCGCAGCCACUAGGGGGCGCUGUGGGACUGGCUCUGGGCAGGCAGUGGGGGCAGGAGGAGGCUGGGGAUCUCGGGAUGAGCCCCGCUGGCCGUGUCUGUGGCUGCUCUGACCCCCUGGGAUCCCUUAUGAGUUACAGCUCAGCUGGGCUCCAUCCCCUCCCCCGAGAGACACGCCUUCCUCAUGGGACCCAGGACCCCAGAUUUAGAACCCAGGGUGUUGUUAAGAAAACCCAGAUUUGCAUCCAGCCCCGCCCCCUCCCAGCCCCAUCCCAGGCUCCCAGGGAGAGGAUAAGAGGGGCCUGGCAGAGCCCGGACCCAGCUGGUUCUCUCUGGGGAGCAGAGCUCUCGGGGUCCCCUGUACCAUGGCCUGGCCUCUCGUCUGCCUCCUCCUGCUCACCUGCUGCUCAGGUUCCUUUUCCCAGCUUGUGCUGACUCAGUCUCCCUCCAUGUCUGCGUCCCUGGGAGCUACGGCCAGACUCUCCUGCACCCUCAGCAGUCAGCACAGCAACUACUAUAUUCAUUGGUACCAGCAGAGCCCAGGAAAGGCCCCUCGGUAUGUCAUGUAUAUCAGCGGAAGUGGAGGUAUAGACAAGGGCGAGGGGAUCCCCGACCGCUUCUCAGGCUCCAGCUCUGGGGCCCAUCGCUACUUGUCCAUCAGCAACAUCCAGCCUGAGGAUGAGGCCGAUUACUACUGUGGGAGAGGUUAUAAUAAUGGUUACCACAGUGCUACAUUCACUGAGGAAGUGGGACAAAAACCUCCUCUGCUACUUCAGACCUGGCCAAGCUAUUGACACAGCCCAGGAUGCCAGGGGACCAGUGGGUCUCUCUUUGUCUCUGCUUCUUCCUCUCUCACACUUUUACUUUCUUUCUCUUUCUGACUUUGUCUCUACGUCCAAGCCUGAUAUUCUGCCUCUGCGGCCUCUCCCUCCACCUCUUUCCCUUUCUUCCUCUCUGGCUCUCUCUGGCUCUCUAUCUCUCUGUCUCUGUCUCUCUCUGUAUCUGUCUCUGUCUCUCUCUCCAGGGCAUUCCAUGACUCAACUGAGAAGAUUCCUAGAGUAUGUGACAGAAACAGG